UAAUACCAUUCGAACUCUGUUGUCCACACUCCCCAGCUGCACUGACCAGUGUUUCCGGCAAAACCACAUUCAUGGGACACUUCUCCAGCUGACCACAUAGUCUUUGGAGACUACUAAGAAAGAAGUUUAUAUUGUGAGGAGGUGACAACAGGCAGCCCAAAGAUGGGAGAAUAUGUUUGGAUGAAUGAUGACAAAAACUCAACGCCCAGGAACGAGUUAUCCCAACCAUCAGAAAUCCAGCAUGAGGCCAAGAGGCAAACCCUAAGUUUGCAUUCUCAUUCUCCUCAUUAACUGAUGGUGUGGGAAGGAUUCAGUGCUAUUCAGGUUUUUCAUUUGUUGCAAGCCUACUCAGACUCCAAACACGGAACGAAUUCAGACUUCCAGCACGAGCUGACUGACAUCACUGUUUGUACCAAAGCCAAACUCUGGCUGGCCAAGAGACGUCUCAGGAAUGUCUAAGGUCAUGAUAUCUCCGGAUGAGAUCCUGUUUGUGUUUUUUAAAUACAAAAGGAAACAUUAUCGUAUUUCAACCCAAGCCAGUGGGACAAG
rnacentral:sRNA from 1 species